AUGAACGCUAGCUACAGGCUUAACACAUGCAAGUCGAGGGGCAGCAUGGUCUUAGCUUGCUAAGGCCGAUGGCGACCGGCGCACGGGUGAGUAACACGUAUCCAACCUGCCGUCUACUCUUGGACAGCCUUCUGAAAGGAAGAUUAAUACAAGAUGGCAUCAUGAGUCCGCAUGUUCACAUGAUUAAAGGUAUUCCGGUAGACGAUGGGGAUGCGUUCCAUUAGAUAGUAGGCGGGGUAACGGCCCACCUAGUCUUCGAUGGAUAGGGGUUCUGAGAGGAAGGUCCCCCACAUUGGAACUGAGACACGGUCCAAACUCCUACGGGAGGCAGCAGUGAGGAAUAUUGGUCAAUGGGCGAGAGCCUGAACCAGCCAAGUAGCGUGAAGGAUGACUGCCCUAUGGGUUGUAAACUUCUUUUAUAAAGGAAUAAAGUCGGGUAUGGAUACCCGUUUGCAUGUACUUUAUGAAUAAGGAUCGGCUAACUCCGUGCCAGCAGCCGCGGUAAUACGGAGGAUCCGAGCGUUAUCCGGAUUUAUUGGGUUUAAAGGGAGCGUAGAUGGAUGUUUAAGUCAGUUGUGAAAGUUUGCGGCUCAACCGUAAAAUUGCAGUUGAUACUGGAUAUCUUGAGUGCAGUUGAGGCAGGCGGAAUUCGUGGUGUAGCGGUGAAAUGCUUAGAUAUCACGAAGAACUCCGAUUGCGAAGGCAGCCUGCUAAGCUGCAACUGACAUUGAGGCUCGAAAGUGUGGGUAUCAAACAGGAUUAGAUACCCUGGUAGUCCGCACGGUAAACGAUGAAUGCUCGCUAUGGGCGAUAUAUUGUCCGUGGCCAAGCGAAAGCGUUAAGCAUUCCACCUGGGGAGUACGCCGGCAACGGUGAAACUCAAAGGAAUUGACGGGGGCCCGCACAAGCGGAGGAACAUGUGGUUUAAUUCGAUGAUACGCGAGGAACCUUACCCGGGCUUAAAUUGCAGAUGAAUUACGGUGAAAGCCGUAAGCCGCAAGGCAUCUGUGAAGGUGCUGCAUGGUUGUCGUCAGCUCGUGCCGUGAGGUGUCGGCUUAAGUGCCAUAACGAGCGCAACCCUUGUUGUCAGUUACUAACAGGUUCCGCUGAGGACUCUGACAAGACUGCCAUCGUAAGAUGUGAGGAAGGUGGGGAUGACGUCAAAUCAGCACGGCCCUUACGUCCGGGGCUACACACGUGUUACAAUGGGGGGUACAGAGGGCUGCUACCACGCAAGUGGAUGCCAAUCCCAAAAACCUCUCUCAGUUCGGAUUGAAGUCUGCAACCCGACUUCAUGAAGCUGGAUUCGCUAGUAAUCGCGCAUCAGCCACGGCGCGGUGAAUACGUUCCCGGGCCUUGUACACACCGCCCGUCAAGCCAUGGGAGCCGGGGGUACCUGAAGUGCGUAACCGCGAGGAGCGCCCUAGGGUAAAACUGGUGACUGGGGCU
rnacentral:rRNA from 1 species